UACCCUGAGCAGCAGCCUGGGGAGGAUGCUUGUGAGAGCAGAACGGGUUUUGCCUACCCAUUGAGGAGAAUGGAAAGAUGAUGGUAUGUGCAAGCCAUAAAUGAGGACUCAUCACCGCGUUUCCCAAAGGCUUGCUUGACCUCCAGCCUGGAUGGAGACAUCCAUGGGGUGGGAGAUUGGACCACGCAGCCAGGACCAUCCCAGAUGUCAACACCAGAAGCUGCUUUUUUGUCCUGAACCCUCCAAAAACCG
rnacentral:lncRNA from 1 species